CAGAGUUUUCCAAACUCCCAAACCCAUGUGAACUUACCACUUGUUGCCUCGGCGGAGCUACCCUGUAGUUACCCUGUAGCUACCCUGUAGUGCCGCCGGCGGACCUCCAAAACUCUUGUUAUUUUGAGUCAUCUGAGCGUCUUAUGUAAAUAAGUCA
rnacentral:misc_RNA from 1 species